UCAGUGAUCCUUCUUUCUCCGAUUCGUACCGUUGCUCGUCGUCUUAUCCUCGUCUCUCUCAAAUGCGCGGAGGCAGGCGCCACGAAUUCACUUCUCGUAACUUCGGCUUCGUUCGGUCAGUUCCGGCUGCCGGUCAGAAGAAUUCGUCAGUAUUCGCCGCGCUGCAUUGCCGGCAAGUUGUAUAAAGGAGUAAGGUGAUUUGAUUUUCAUAAGAAUAAAAGUGCGCGUGUCUAAUACAGAGAUACAUACGUUUAGAACAUAUUUGGAACGUUCAUGCCGUUCAUGAGAAUAUUCGCCACAUUCUAAAUAUAAACGAAUGUUGUUAGAACAAGUUCGAUCGUGCUCUCAAAAUACGAGAGGUCGAACGUUAGUGUCUGACGCUUUUAAAUCAUUUCGAUCUACUUGACUUCGAAGAAAAACGCACUGAACUGUCCAAAGUGUCUAUUCUGAAAAGGACCAGGAGAAUAGGACAGUCGAUUGGGACAUCGAUGAGAAGUAGGAAGCAAGGCACUCAUUUUGAAACACGGAGCAUAUCGAUAAUCGCUACUUCGAUCAUCGAAAUCGUGCCGACACACUUCGAAGAUCGUGCACGGAAACUGGCACGACACGAAUACUUGUCCCUCAACGCAAAAAGUUUUUGCAACUCUGUGUACAUAAAACCCGCCAGGCAACAAAGUCGAAGAUUCUCUCCUCGCAGUGGGCCAAGUUCUUUAUCAAAACAUGGCCACGUGACCGACGGCGCGGCUUGUAAACAGUGAGUUUGACCACGUGGUCUGCCCCCUCUCUCGUAAUCGCCUAUCUCUCUCAUCCUGCUUCUCUUUCUCAGUUUCUUUCUCGCUUACUCGCGACACGCAGAACAACGUACAUCGUAGCGUAUUCUCGGUCGGUCCGCUGCCAGCUGCGGGAGAGUUCGAUUCGAGUGAUCCGUGAUACUCUGCUUUUCCUCGCAGUUAGUUUACUUUCAUCUCGUUUUCUCCGAAAAUAACAAUAUAUCUUUCGAUAUUGUGCGUGCGAUAUCAUUCAUGUACUAUUUAUUUUAUUUCUGGUCGCGCGCCGGUAAGGGAAAUCAAGUGACAAAUCGUGAAUAUAAGAACACAGGGCUUAAUAAAAUAAAUAAAUAAAGGUGACCUCCCCCUGGUUCUGCUUUCGAUUUGUUAUUAACGACGUAGUGCUGUUAACCCAUAGAAGUGGCAGUGUUAGUGAUAUCGAUAGUUUCGAUCGCAGCGCGACCAUCGACUGUUACGGCGACUUUUCGCGAAUUCUUGGUAAGCAGCGCGAUAUUUGUGAACAGACACAGCACCUCGCGAGGUGCUCGGGAUCAAAGUGGAGUACACAGAGGAAACGAACAUGAUGGACUCGGUGCCGGUUUCUGCGUCGGGGUCGAAGACCGGGUUGCAACCACAGCAGGGGGUACCAUACGACCUUGAGAGCGGGUUUGAACCUCAGACGAGAGCACGGUCGCACACGUGGCCGCUGCCAAGACCGGAGGAAUAUAUCGAGGGAAACGUGGUGCCGAGCGUAGCGGCUAGCAAAGAGGGCGUCGAAGGCGUCGAAAGUGGCACACCGCCUCAGCAUGGCUCUCUCGGCCAAGGUACUGGCCUGCUUCCGGUCAAGAAGAAUUCGUCCCGACGAAACGCCUGGGGAAAUCACAGUUAUGCCGAUCUUAUUACUCAAGCCAUUACUAGCGCCCCCGACGAACGAUUGACGCUUUCACAGAUCUACGAAUGGAUGAUGCAGAAUAUACCAUACUUCAGGGAAAAGGGAGAAAGCAACAGUAGCGCUGGCUGGAAGAACUCCAUAAGACACAAUCUGUCAUUACACAGCAGAUUUAUGCGAGUGCAGAACGAGGGUACUGGGAAGAGUUCCUGGUGGAUGAUCAAUCGCGACGCGAAACCAGGCAAGUCGCGCAGAAGGGCAAUAACCAUGGAGACUAGCAAAUUUGAGAAACGACGUGGCAGGGUGAGGAAGAAGAUCGAGGCGCUAAGAAACGGGGGGUUGCAAACUGACGCAACGCCUAGCCCCAGUAAUAGCGUGAAUGAGGGGUUGGAUCUCUUCCCGGAUAGUCCUCUUCAACCUGGCAGUGGAUUUCAACUUUCACCUGAUUUUCGUCCUCGAGCUUCAAGCAAUGCCUCAUCCUGUGGUCGAUUAAGUCCAAUCCCGGCGAUCCCUGGGAAACCGGAAUGGACACCAACAUACACACCCUCUUAUAGCCCAGAACAAUUAGCCGGUAGCCUCGCGGAAACGAUGAAACUGGAAUCCUACCAAAUGUACCAAACAUCACCGUCCAGCCACCAGCAACAGACCGGACCGCCACCUUCCUAUUACGAGACCCAAUAUCAGAGAAGUAAUAGCCUGUCAACAGGAUCGUCCUCCUUUGCUUUGCAGCCAACUCCUCAAUCAGGAAAUCAGCAAAGAUGCCCGCUUCACGGUCUGCAACCGUGUGCCUGUCAAAUGAACUUGAGUCCAGUGGCUGGAAUGUCGCCGUCAUAUCAGCAGAGUGAACCAAGUCCCACGGCAUUAGGAAGCAAUCAGCAACAAACUCUUCAGUACAUGAUGCAGACACAACAGUGCCAGCAGCAACAACAGCAACAACAACAACAGCAACAACAACAGUCGCAAACCGGAGCAACGGGAUCCAGUCCACCGCAAACACCCACACCAUGUGGUUCAACACCGAGCACAAUGAUGGGACAAUUGAUGGGAGCUCUCAAUAAUUCGACGCUCCUUGACGAUUUGAACAUUAAUAUCGAAUCGUUACACGGUGGAUUCGAUUGUAAUGUGGAAGAGGUGAUCAAACACGAAUUGUCAAUGGACGGGACGUUAGACUUUAACUUCCAGCAAGGUGUGAUGGGCACGGCUGCGAUCCAAGUGAGCGACAGUAACGUUGGUCAGAACGGUACCGUGUCCCAAAACAACGUGGUUGGCACGACGGCCGGGAACGCGCCCGCAGGAGUUUACGUGAGCACCAACGCGGCGACUCCUGCUGCUUCUCCAUCUUGGGUUCACUAGCAGUGGACCCCACUGCCCUCGACACCCCCGUCGUCCUUGUCAUCGUCAUUACUAGACGGACAAGAGAAUUUCCACGGACAGCCCGAGGGACAGUUCAUCGAAAUCCCAUGUGUCGAGGACGAGCUGGAGGAUCGACGAGUACUUGUGAUAAGAUGUAGAAAUAAUUAUACCGGACCACAACCAAGAUAUGUACCAUACCAUCAAACGUACUUCAAAGAUGCCGAUUUACGCCUGUGCAACUGUGGUGCGAAAAGAACGCCGUAAAUCCGAUCAACAUCGGGGAGCAGACAAUGUCGUUUCGUUGCCACUAUUUUAUGCAACGAUUAGGUUGAAAUGAAACAUACCAAGAAAUUCGAGACUUCAAACAUCAAAUAGCAUGAGAUUUUGCCGAUUCGCAAUCCUAAAUCCCAGAUAUUUCUUCGUUCUAGCAUUUGGAUAGCGUUGAAUCGCAAAAUAUGCAAUUAUAAAAUACUUUUAAUCGUUCUUAUGAUCCUCUCAGAAAAAUACGUACGGUUUUUCUAUUUUCUGUUACAUUUUCCAUGCGAUAGUUAGAGUUUAAUGUUUUAUGACGAAAGGAAACAUAAUCAUGAUGUUAUCCGAGGAUGUACCAUAGAUGAAAAACGAUUGUAUUGCAUUUCAGUGAGGAAAAUGUAACCGGAAGUUGAGUCGAUGGAAUUCUUCUUAUGCUUGAAAAUUGAAUCAGCAUAGAAUUUACGGUUUGAGCCUUUAAAUUCUACAUUUGCGGGCACAGCCUAAUUUACUCAAAAAUUGAGGCAAACUAAAUCUAAAGAAACAUUUCGUAAUUAAGACUAUUGCUAGCUGACAAUUUCUGAAAUUUAAUCAAUGCAUCUAAAUUCAUUAUUUUCUUUUUAACUUCUUUUGAAAACAGAAUUGCUUCACUUGCUCAAAAUCUCUUCGCUUCACGAUGUUUUUGUAUAAUAUGAAUGCUUCUGUAUAAUGUGACCUCAAAAUUUGUUAUUAAGGAUAAAUUUAUAUGAAAUAAAAUAUUCCAGCACGAAUUCCACGGCACAUAUGUGUAUGUAUCUUCUACGAAAGAGAGAGAAAGAUCAUUUAUAUUCUGGAAGUCUAUCUUCUUAUUUCAAAAAGUAUGCAUCAAAAUGAAGAGCUUGGCCUAUGAUAAAUUCUUUCGCGCGAAUCGGCAUGAUUUCCGGAAUUUUUCACCAUUCGAGCUACCGGUGAACAAGCAACAUCCCGUCGACUUCUCUCGAUCGCUGGAGUAUUCCGAUCAGCUUCUCCAGAUCCUUCUUGUUUCCUUCCUCGUGACUUCCGCGCGAGUGCGUGUGCACGACCAGGAGAACCUGCGCCUGCAACCUGCAACUCAUGUCACGUGGCACGAAGAUCGUCGCGUGCUCCUCCGUUCGACGCUACACACGCAUGCUGCGAACUAGCGGCAACUCACAAAGGCGUUCGACUUCCGUCUCGGAUCUCUCGAUAGCCCGUAAUACGCACAGACAUUACACAUAAUCGUCUUAUGGUAGACAAAUCGGCGCUAUGGACAAAUCCACGAGAUUUCGUUUCUUCUCUUUUGUGUUCGUGUAUAUGUAUAGUUCGUAUAUAUAUAAUACAUACGCGCCGUUGGAUCGUGAUUCCCGUUCGCCAGUUUAUUUUUGCGAAUCCGCGACGAACGGUAGAAUCCGCGAGCGGCGAAUAAUAUACCACGUUGGGCCAGUUCACCAGAGUAAACGAAAAAUUCACUUGCACAUUUUCCACUUUUUUGCGUUUUUUCUUUUAUUUCUUGUUUAUUUUUCUCAUCAAAAAGACAUUCAAAAUCACUCGUAAUUUGUUUGCGUGGCUCCAAGUAAGUAAGAACCGAAAGGAAAAAAGGGAAAAAUGACGGACAGCUAAGAUAAUAAAAUGAGCGACGAAUGGACAAGACGUCUUUACCGACGUUUCGCCGUACGUACACGAUCUCUUUCCCUAUAGAAGCAACCUCAUGUGCACGAAGGCGCAUACUAUACAUAUAUAAAUAAAUAUAGAUAUAAGUAUAUUAUAUAUAAAUAAGUAAAUAUAAAUAUACAAUGAUACAUGAAUAUGAGAAAACGAAGGACACACAAUAUUAUUGUAUAUGUAACUAAAAUAUUUAAGAGAAACUGUGCGCGGAUAUCGCUACGAAUUCUAUGUUGCGAUAUAUAUGUAUGAUAUUUAUAUAUAUAACAGUAAUUAUAUAUAAUGUUAUAUAUAAAAAUAUAUAUAUAUAACACAUCAUACAUGUAUAUGAUAUUAUACAAGGAUAAAAAUAUAUUGAACAUAUUCUAUAGAAUAUUGUACGUUUGCUAAUGUUAUGUAUAGUAUACAAAAGAAAAAAAUAUAUAUAAUUAUGUGUAUAAUUAUAUAUAUAUAUAUAUAUAUAUAUAAUCUUUGCCUUUAUAUACAUAUAUAUAUAUAUAGGCAAAGAGAUAAGUACAUAGGUUAUGUAUAAGAUAUAGGUACAAUUAACGUUAAGUAAAAUGCUACAAGUAGAUAUGUCUAAAAGAAGGAUAAAGUUUUUAGUCAGAUGGUUAGAAAUCGAAGUUGACACGACGACGAAAGCUUAUUCUGCGUGGCUCCUUUUAAAUUUGUCGCGUCAUCUUACAAUAGAGGAACAGAAUGGAUAACACGUUGGUGCUUUUCGAUAGGUGAACGUUUCCUUUUCGUUUCUUUCAUCUUUUCUAUUUUUUUUUUUUUUUUUUUUUUUUUUAUGUAUUUUUUUGUCUGCAAAACAGUAAUCGUUAGAUCGAUGUGCUAUUUAGAUAAACAGGACUGACAGUAUCAUACACCGGCGCUGUUCUUCACAGACGGGCAUUUUAUGCUUUUAGUAAAAUAUUAAACAAAUUUUCCUAGAAAUCAGUGUAAAAGAUACGAAGAUGUACGAGUACUUCGAAAAUCGAGCAUAUUUGAUCGAAUAACCUUAAUCGUAUAAUUCGUAAGAGGAUUCCUAUCGAUCGUAUCAACGUUACUUGGUUAAGAUACAUUUCCAUCACUGUCAUCCGAAAUGUAUGCAUUUUUUGACAGUAUCAGCCCGACGAAUUAGAGGGUCCUGUACGAUGUUCCUCGAGGAUUGCGAUAAUCUUGUAGGCUGAUUAAAAAGAAGUGCGUGAGUCGAGAUCAGUGUCUUUUACUAUUGAAGAGCUUAGGUGAAUUUAGUAGACUUUAAUCGUCCGACGAUCGAACGAUACAAGAGCAGAUCUUCGGAACGUCGAAGAUCGCUAUUAAAUAGCUUUCAAAGUCUGUAAAGUACAUGGUGGCUACAUGUUAAGAGUAUCUCGAGUACUGUAGUGAAGAAGAAAGUCAAUUUUAUCAACAAAUAUGAUUAAGUCUAGGGUAACCUUUGCGUGUAUGUAUAAAACCAGUAGCAGACCCCGUUCGACUGAAAAACACGUUUGCUAUGGGGCUGGGUGACAAACGAGGUAAACCACUAACGACGACUGAUCAAUAAUUUUUGCUACUUUGAGUUUAUGCUCGUAAGCAUGCUUAUAUCAUUUUAAGUUCAGAUUUAUUCAUUAUUAAGCGAUUGGAUUGGAUGUUAUAGUGAAAGAGAAUAAAAUCCAUGUUCGUUUAUUAAUUAUUUUUUAUUUUUAUUCAGAAUUUCAUUAAACAAUUUUAAGCAAUCAGGUAGUUGAAAAAUGUUUUAUUCUUUAGAUGAUUAUGAGUUGGUUAUAAUAUAAUAAACGAUCGUCGUACAUGAAAUAUUUAUUAUUUUUCAAUGAUCAGAAAAUUUGAUGUUCUUUAAGUUAGUAACUGAAAUUAAAUUAUUUGUAACCAUAUAUCUGGAAUAUAAUGAAUAAAAAUUAUAAUAUUAAAUAGUUUGUUUCAUACGAAUAAUUUUUGUUAUAUUGCGACAAAAAAAAAUAAAAAAUUGAUUUUAAACCAUACAUUAGCAACAUGAACAUCAACCGAUAAAAGUGUCUUCAGUUCACUUGAAUUAAUUAUGAUUGCAUCAUUAGUACAAAACCCAAUCGAUAAACUUUUUAUUUUGUUGUACAUACUGUUGUAGACCAUUCUACAAUAUUAUAUAACAAUUUUACACUUUGAAUAUUGCAGGUUAUUGAUCCAAUGACUUUUCUUUCUUGUAUUACCAAUAACGUCUCACUUUUUUUCGAUUUAAAUACAGAACCUUACCGUAACUUCUACCCAUUGAUUAAUAUUGUUAGAAAUUCACAUCUGAGAUUAUUUUCUAUAAGAUCUGUUUAUGCAGACAAAAAUAUAAAAAUCUAAAGAAACGGUCCACGAACAUGAAUUUCGUGAUUGAAAAUAAGCUAUUUAAUUAUUACUUAAAUUACGCGAUUAACAUCAAUAGGCGACGUGUCCAAGGAUUCUUCAUUCGAUUAUAUAUUAUGUGUAAUAUAUAAUAUAUAUAGAAACUGCCAUUUACUAAGUGCAAUACGUAUGUACAAAAUGGAAGAGUCAGUCGACGUUUCCGUGUUACUAUACUCGAGAGUCACCGAUAGCACCGGUUUUCUUCUUCUGAGGGAGAACAGCGAAAAACGAGCUUCACCUACUGGCGUAAAUAUGUACGAAGCUAAUCGUAAGUGUUCAUAAAGUAAUUACGGGAUGGAGCUAAUCUUAUCGAGAAAACGAUACGUGUGACUAAGAAACAGUUACUAUUUAAUGGGAAGAACGCACGUUUCGGUUGCAGUGGCGUAUACAAUGAGCCUCCAACGUGAAAGAAAUGGAGAUCAUCAGUGAAAGUAGUUUGACAUUGGGAUCCAGAAUGUUCGUAAAGUUCAUUAUAACCUACCGCCAAAUACCCCUAAAUUAUUUUUCUCAUCUCGUCUAAUAGCAUUUCGUAUAUCACCUUACAAACAGUAAACUUGGUUUUAUAUUUUGAAAUUGGAAAUUAACACUUUCAGACUAAUAAUUUUCAAGUAUAUUUUAGAUUCUUUAAAGCUAUA